GCUGCUCCUGGAGGCGAUGCCGGGGAGAAGGAGGCCGCGGGCGAACGGUUCAGCGGUGGGCAGCGCUCCCACCGGAGAUGGGAACGAAGACCCCCACGCGGCGCCUCGCACGCGCGGCGGUGUGCAGGCGGAGCGGCAGCAGGCGCGCGCGGGCCUGCAGAGCGUUGUCUCUGUCGUCCGCGCCCACACACGAGCCAGCCAGCCAGCCGUUUGAUUAUGCAGAAUCAAUUUGGUGAUGCACAAGCUACAGGCUGAGUGAGACAUGAAUCCAAAUCUGAUUGAAGUUGCUCCUGGUGGAAGGCCUCCAAAGCAAAAGCAGAAGGAACAUAUUCCUG
rnacentral:lncRNA from 1 species